AUUGAACGCUGGCGGCAGGCCUAACACAUGCAAGUCGAGCGGGGUUUUCGGACCUAGCGGCGGACGGGUGAGUAAUGCGUAGGAAGCUACCCGACAGAGGGGGAUACCAGUUGGAAACGACUGUUAAUACCGCAUAAUGUCUACGGACCAAAGUGUGGGACCUUCGGGCCACAUGCUGUCGGAUGCGCCUACGUGGGAUUAGCUAGUUGGUGAGGUAAUGGCUCACCAAGGCGACGAUCCCUAGCUGGUUUGAGAGGAUGAUCAGCCACACUGGAACUGAGACACGGUCCAGACUCCUACGGGAGGCAGCAGUGGGGAAUAUUGGACAAUGGGCGCAAGCCUGAUCCAGCCACUGCCGCGUGUGUGAAGAAGGCCUCGG
rnacentral:rRNA from 1 species